GACGAACGCUGGCGGCGUGCUUAAUACAUGCAAGUCGAACGAGUGGAGAACGGGAGAGUAAUAUGUGGGUUACCUGCCCUCCCUUCGGGAUAAGCUUUGGAAACGGGGCCUAAUACAGAAUAUAGGGGGAUGGGCUCGUGGCCUAUCGGCGUGUUGGUGGGGUGCUGGGGUAACAAGGCGGUGACGGGUAGCCGGGCUGAUAGGGUGAACGGCGACUUAGGCACGGAGAAACGGCCCAGAGGAGUACGGGGGGGAGAAGUGGGGGAUAUUGCACAAUGUGCGAAAGCGUGAUGCAGCGUCGCCGCGGGGGGUAUGAGGGCUUUCGGGUUGUAUAGCUCGUUCGCUAUCGGGUAGGUGGAGAAGAAGCGACGGCUAACUACGUGCCAGCAGCCGCGGUAAUAC
rnacentral:rRNA from 1 species